UCUUCUCUUUUGUUCAAUGAAAUCUCAGAGAAUUUGUGGAUGAAAGGCCACUUCCAUUCCAAGCAAUCCUUUCCACAAAGCAACAGUGUUCCAAACCUGAAUGAAAGAAUCUGCAGAACCCAGCUAACUAAGGACCAUGCUUCUGAUAUUUCAAACACAAACAGUAAUGAAGAUUCAAGCACAACAAUUGAAUCAAAUUGGCUAAGUUUGUGAUGAUCAUGAAGAAAAACAGCACAUGCAAGAUUCACAUGUAUGAUGCAUGUCAUACAUAACGUAUGAAGAAAAUAAUAAAAUAAAAUUCACCUCAUCAGGAAAUGGAGCCUGAGAACCAGAGAUAUUGUAGAAAGCUGAAAGUGCAUGAUUGUGUUGCGGGUUUUGUUCCUUGUUUAAUGGGAGAGAAGGCAAUAGGGCCUCACAGAAGGAAGCCAUAACUUGCAUCUGAGAGGAAGAUAGGCCAUGGCUGUAACCUUUCUCUCUUCUGUUACCUCCUCUCAGAAGAGGAGAAAGAUCAAGACAGUGAGUUUGAGGAAUGAAUUUGGAACAAAACAACGCUUGGUGUCAUUUUCAAUUAUGGGUUUGAACAGAAUUUUAUUAGUCUAAGCUUGGCAACUUUUAGUAGGAGAAUGAAAAAGAAAAAUAGGUAUAUUUUCAUCAUGAUUCAUGAUUAUGCUAACGUUGUUGAGCUUGGAAACAUGUGAAUGUUGGUCACUUUAUUAUAAUUUACUCUACCGACGCCAUUAAUUAGUUAGAAUAUAAACAUGAACUACAUGUAAUUUUGAAACCUGAAAAACUUGUUACACCAUGACUUAACUAGUUUCUACCUGAAAAAACUCAGUUAAUGAGUUAUUAGUUAAUAAUAGAUCUCUGUCACUAGUUUGUUACUGUAAGUAAUAUUUUCAGUUCUAGGCUUACCUGAAUAUGAUCGUAGAAAGAUAAUAGGGUAGCAAACACCAAAUUGUUGUUGAUUUUCUUGAUCCCAAUAAUGAGAAGUGUAGUGUUUCUCAAUGGCUUUGGUGCUUAGGUAUGAGUCUCGAGAUAUUAGAAUUAGAAAACAUAUAUGAUACGUGAGUAUCAGUGAUCCUUUAUA